rnacentral:rRNA from 1 species
CACAUGCAAAGUCGAACGACAGCACGGGGGCAAUCCUGGUGGCGAGUGGCGAACGGGUGAGUAAUACAUCGGAACGUGCCCAGUAGUGGGGGAUAACCCGGCGAAAGCCGGACUAAUACCGCAUACGACCUACGGGUGAAAGCAGGGGAUCGCAAGACCUUGCGCUAUCGGAGCGGCCGAUGUCAGAUUAGCUUGUUGGCGGGGUAAAAGCCCACCAAGGCGACGAUCUGUAGUUGGUCUGAGAGGACGACCAGCCACACUGGGACUGAGACACGGCCCAGACUCCUACGGGAGGCAGCAGUGGGGAAUUUUGGACAAUGGGCGCAAGCCUGAUCCAGCCAUGCCGCGUGCGGGAAGAAGGCCUUCGGGUUGUAAACCGCUUUUGUCAGGGAAGAAAAGCUCUAGGCUAAUACCUUGGAGUCAUGACGGUACCUGAAGAAUAAGCACCGGCUAACUACGUGCCAGCAGCCGCGGUAAUACGUAGGGUGCAAGCGUUAAUCGGAAUUACUGGGCGUAAAGCGUGCGCAGGCGGCUUUGCAAGACAGAUGUGAAAUCCCCGGGCUUAACCUGGGAACUGCAUUUGUGACUGCAUGGCUCGAGUGCGGCAGAGGGGGAUGGAAUUCCGCGUGUAGCAGUGAAAUG